CCUACGGGAGGCAGCAGUGGGGGAUAUUGCACAAUGGGGGGAACCCUGAUGCAGCGACGCCGCGUGGGUGAAGAAGCGCCUCGGCGCGUAAAGCCCUGUCAGCAGGGAAGAAAAUGACGGUACCUGAAGAAGAAGCCCCGGCUAACGACGGGCCAGCAGCCGCGGGAAGACGUAGGGGGCAAGCGUUAUCCGGAUUUACUGGGUGUAAAGGGGGCGCAGACGGCGCGGCAAGCCCGGAGUGAAAGCCCGGGGCCCAACCCCGGGACUGCUCUUGGAACGGCGUGGCUGGAGUGCAGGAGGGGCAGGCGGCAUUCCUGGUGUAGCUGUUCACUGCGUAGAUCUC
rnacentral:rRNA from 1 species